ACUUUCUCCUCAAUUAUUUUAAGACCUUGAGUAGAGGUCCGACCAAGGAUUGAACCCUGCAGGUCUCCCAGCUUGAAAGGCAAGCGUGGUGACCACGACACCACAAACGGUUCUCGACUUGUUUGAUUUUCUAAUUUAUUUAAUUUUUUUGUCCAGAAAUGAUGAUUCACCAACAAAACAAGAAGGAGCUGAAAAAGUAGACAAACAGGAUAAAGUUCCUGCUGUAAAAUUUAAGGAGAAAAAAUUACCAGUAACAAAGCAAAAUAGCUUGAACGAUACAAACGUCACUUUUAAAAAGAGAAAAAGCAAUCAAGACAAGAAACGAAGCAUAAGACAAAGGACUGAUAAUUCAUAAUUACGUCAGGAACUGAUUGGAAAUGAAAAAUCGUGCUGAAGAGGAAGCCUCUUCGGUUGCUGCAAAUCAAUUCCCCGCGUUAAAAAUACUGAUAUGUAUUUUAUGUUUUUACUUCGUCUUAAAGCCUGUUCUCAAUUUCCUUGUUCCGUUACCACUUGCAUGGGCACACAAAAAGAAAAUGCAUCAUGAUACGUUACAAUAACUUAAUCUGAAGUUGCAAAGCGCAAUUAACGUGACUCGACCUUGACAUCAUCCCUCUUUGAUAUUCCAACAUGGCUACGCUCAAAAUAUUUUUCUUCAUCUUAAUUAUAUAGCCAAGUAAAUAUUCGGUAAUUAACUAACGUUAUAUUCAAACUUGUAAGUCCUUUGGAUUUUAUUGUUACUUACGGUAAUUUAUUUCUACACAGUGAAAACAGAUUGGUUAAAACAACCAAUAAAUUAGUUAUGAUUAUGAUUAUUCAGCUCACUCCCCAUUAAUUGGGGCUUUUCAGUGACCAAUUACAUCAAGUAUGAGGCUUACUUAUUUCCUAGGCGUAAAAAAAUACCUGUGGUUCCGGUUCCCGACCGACCCUAUUUUUUUCUGCCGACCCUAUUAUUUUUUCAACGCGAUUGACCGUGCGACCCUAUUUUCUCCGGGUGGUUGCGGGCUGCUACCAAAAUGGCGUCCGUUGUCACACUAAUUAUUGAAAAAACCAUGAAAAAAUAUUUUUAAAAAAAUUAUUUCCGACCUACCGACCCUAAUUUUUUCGCGAUAUGAAACCGGAACCGCAUGUUUCUUUUUACGCCCUAUACUUAUCCUAGACUAUUUAUUUUUACUACAAUUGUAAUAUUACUUUGUUUCCAACUAUGUUUCUCCUAAUCCACCCUGUCAGUUUUCCCUGUGGGAGGAAACCGAAGCACCCGCAGAAAACCCGCGAAUUUUGGCAGAGCGUUGGCAGACUCUUCUCACAUGAGUCCGUAGUGAGAAUAGAACCCACGGUCUCAGAGGUGACGACUGCGCUACCGAAGCCCUCUUACUAUGAAAUAUUAGAGAGUUUAAGCUUCGCGUUAUACGUCAAACGGCAAACGCCAGGCAAAGAAAGAUUUUACGGUACCAGGCAAUAAAGAGUAAAUGAACUUGCUGUUUUAAAACUGAAAUACAUAAUUAUUCUUUCGACGCAAGAAAGAAAAUAUGAAACGAAAACGUUCAACGAAAAUUUUGCUAAGAAAGUUCGAACCUGCCGUUUGCCGUUCCCGGAAACAUGAAGCUUAAACUCCCUAAUCAAUGAAUCUGAGAUAACCAAUUCCUUGGUUGUUUUAACCAAUUUCUUUUUACAGUGUAGAUAUAGUUCAGUAUAUAUUUAAUUUAAGAGGGAUAGUUUGAAUUUCAUUGAAAAUACGCGUAAGAUGAAAGUAGUAAUCAAAACUGGAGAGUGAGAGUGAAAAAAGUUGAGUAUGCAUGACGUCAGUACCGAAUAUGACGUCAGUACCGAGUAUGAUAGAUAAUAAUACAUCUGUAAAAAUAUAUAGUUAGUUAAUUACACUUGAUGUGUCUGCAUCUUAUUAAGGAUGUUUUUCAAUACAGUGUAUAGUCAGAUUGUCUGCUUCUCUCUCACUCGUGUUUUAAUGACAAAAAAUGCAGUGACAUAGGUUACUGACGUAAUAGCUGAUAAGUAUGCUUUAGCACGCAUGGAAAUCGGCAUGCGUGGAAGAUUAAUGUCAGAGGCAACGAAAACAACAACAAUGUAGACCUAUCUACUACGUAAUAUAUAGUUUAUAAAUUCUUGUAACUAAUUAUGAAAGGUUAUUUUCACACGACACCUUUUAGAGAAUAAAG
rnacentral:lncRNA from 1 species